AUACGGAGGAUGCGAGCGUUAUCCGGAUUUAUUGGGUUUAAAGGGAGCGUAGGUGGGAUAUUAAGUCAGCUGUGAAAGUUUGGGGCUCAACCUUAAAAUUGCAGUUGAUACUGGUUUCCUUGAGUACGGUACAGGUGGGCGGAAUUCGUGGUGUAGCGGUGAAAUGCUUAGAUAUCACGAAGAACUCCGAUCGCGAAGGCAGCUCCGCGAGCCAGAACUGACACUCACGCUCGACAGUGCGGUAACCAAACAGGAUUAGAUACACUGGUAAUCCUCAGAGUAGACGUUGAAUACACGCUGUUGGCGAUCCCCUGUAAGCGCUCAAGCGAAAGCGAUAAGUAUUCAACCUGGGGAGCACGCCGGCAACGUUGAUACUCAAACAAAAUCACGGGG
rnacentral:rRNA from 1 species